rnacentral:misc_RNA from 1 species
AGCAGCCGCGGUAAUUCCAGCUCCAAUAGCGUAUAUUAAAGUUGUUGCAGUUAAAAAGCUCGUAGUUGAAUUUCGGGACCAAUUUGUUGGUCGUGCCUCGGUACGUACUGGUAUUAUUGGUUUCUCCCUUCUGAAGAACCUCGAUGCCAUUAAUUUGGUGUCGUGGCGAAUCAGGACUGUUACUUUGAAAAAAUUAGAGUGUUUAAAGCAAGCAUACGCUUGAAUACAUUAGCAUGGAAUAAUGAAAUAGGACGUUUGAUUCUAUUUUGUUGGUUUCUAGGAUCGACGUAAUGAUUAAUAGGGAUAGUUGGGGGCAUUAGUAUUCAAUUGUCAGAGGUGAAAUUCUUGGAUUUAUUGAAGACUAACUACUGCGAAAGCAUUUGCCAAGGAUGUUUUCAUUAAUCAAGAACGAAAGUUAGGGGAUCGAAGACGAUCAGAUACCGUCGUAGUCUUAACCAUAAACUAUGCCGACUAGGGAUCGGAUGAUGUUAAUUUUUUAAUGACUCAUUCGGCGCCUUAC